rnacentral:rRNA from 1 species
GAUUAAGCUACUAAGAGUACAUGGCGGAUGUCUUGGCGUUAAGAGGCGAUGAAAGACGUUGUAGCCUGCGAUAUGCCUCGGGGAGCUGGCAAACAAGCUUCGAUCCGAGGAUCUCUGAAUGGGGAAACCCGGCGGCAAGUGCCGUCACCCAUACCCGAAUGCAUACGGUAUGGGAGCGAACCUGGCGAACUGAAACAUCUAAGUAACCAGAGGAAAAGAAAUCAACCGAGAUUCCGUAAGUAGCGGCGAGCGAAAGCGGAUAUACCCAUAGUGUCACGAACGGCCUGGAAAGGCCGACCAUAGAAGGUGAUAGUCCUGUAACGGCAUAGUGGGGUAGCCCUAGAGUAGCGUAGAGCUCGUGAAACUCUGCGUGAACAUGGGGGGACCACCCUCCAAGGCUAAAUACUACUUAACGACCGAUAGUCAACCAGUAGGGCGACUGAAAGAUGAAAAGUUCCCCGAUAAGGGAAGUGAAAUAGUAUCUGAAACCAUGUACUUACAAGCGGUCGGAGCGGUUCUUCGGAAUCGUGACGGCGUGCCUUUUGCAUAAUGAGCCGGCGAGUUGUUCUCUGUAGCAAGCUUAAGUCGUACCCCGACGUAGGCGUAGUGAAAGCGAGGGUUAACUGCCCGUCAAGUUGCAGGGAGCAGACGCGAAACCAGGUGAUCUACCCAUGGCCAGGUUGAAGGGACGGUAACACGUCCUGGAGGACCGAACCCGUAUUCGUUGAAAAGAAUUGGGAUGAGCUGUGGGGAGGAGUCAAAGUCUAAUCAUACCUGGAUAUAUCUCGUUCUCCUCGAAAUAGUUUUUGGGCUAGCCUCACGUUACAGCGUUAAGGGGUAGAGCUACUGAUUGGGGCUGGGGGGCUACCCGCCUACCCACCCCAACCAAACUCCGAAUACUUAACGUCUUUGUCGUGGGAGUCAGACCGCGGGGGAUAAUCUUCGUGGUCGAGAGGGAAACAACCCAGACCGCCAGCUAAGGUCCCUAAUUGUAUCUCAGUUCUUAAGGAAGUUAGGAUCCCGUGACAGCCAGGAUGUUGGCUUAGAAGCAGCCACCAUUUAAAGAGUGCGUAAUAGCUCACUGGUCGAGGAUUUUAGCGCCGAUAAUGAUCGGGAAUAAGAUACAAACCGAAGCUGCGGAAUUCGAAAGAAUUGGUAGAGGAGCGUUCCUGUCAGCGUCGAAGCAGAACGGACAACGUUCUGUGGAGCGGCAGGAAGUGAUUAUGUCGGCUUGAGUAACGAUAAAACAGGUGAAAAUCCUGUUCGCCGAAAGAGUAAGGUUUCCUGGGCAAGGUAAAUCCGCCCAGGGUUAGUCGGAACCUAAGGCGAGGCCGAAAGGCGUAGUCGAUGGACAUCAGGUUAAUAUUCCUGAACCGUGAUGAAGUGACGGAUUUUGAAGGUCUGGCGGUUGACUAGUCGUGACCGUUGGUAACUAAGGGCGUUUGAUCCCGAUGCAGGCUGGAUAAGUCCCGCGAAAUAGCUCAUCUAUAUACGACCGUACUAAAACUGACACAGGUACUCGUGGUGAAUAACCUCAGGCGCUCGAGAGAAUGGUAGUUAAGGAAUUAGGCAAAUUGACCCUGUACGUUCGCAAUAAAGGGGCCCUCCCUCUUCGGAGAAGGGCGCAGAGAAAAGGUGCUGGCAACUGUUUAUCAAAAACACAGGACUGUGCUAACUCGUAAGAGGAUGUAUACAGUCUGACGCCUGCUCGAUGCCGGAAUGUCACGGAAGUAGGUUAGCUUCGGCGAAGCUUACGACCCAAGCACCGGUCAAUGGCGGCCGUAACUAUGACGGUCCUAAGGUAGCGAAAUUCCUUGUCGGGUAAGUUCCGACGCGCAUGAAUGGCGUAAUGACUGGCACACUGUCUCAACUACCAACUCGGUGAAAUAGAAGACGCGGUGAAGAUACCGUGUACCCGCAGCAAGACGGAAAGACCCCGUGGACCUUUACUGUAGGCUGAUAUUGGCCACCAUUUCAAACUGCGUAGGAUAGGUGGGAGGCUUUGAACCCAGGCUUUCGGGCCUGGUGGAGCCGUCCUUGAAAUACCACCCUGUUUGUCGUGUUGACCUAACUUCGACCCAUGAAUCUGGGCGAAGGACCAUGUUAGCUGGGCAGUUUGACUGGGGCGGUCUCCUCCUAAAGAGUAACGGAGGAGCGCAAAGGUUGGCUCAGCGUGGUUGGAAACCACGUUUCGAGUGUAAGAGCACAAGCCAGCUUUACUGCGAGACAUACACGUCAAGCAGUCACGAAAGUGGGCUCUAGUGAUCCGGUAGUCCCGUGUGGAAGGGCUAUCGCUCAACGGAUAAAAGGUACCCCGGGGAUAACAGGCUGAUCGCUCCCGAGCGUCCAUAGCGGCGGAGCGGUUUGGCACCUCGAUGUCGGCUCGUCACAUCCUGGGGCUGAAGGCGGUCCCAAGGGUUGGGCUGUUCGCCCAUUAAAGUGGCACGCGAGCUGGGUUCAGACCGGCGUGAGCCAGGUCGGUCCCUAUCUGCUGUGGGCGUACCAUGUUUGAGAGGAUUCUUCUUUAGUACGAGAGGAUUAGGAAGGACGUACCCCUGGUGCGCCGGUUGGUCUGCUAAGGCCACCGCCGGGUAGCUAAGUACGGCAGGGAUAACCACUGAAAGCAUCUAAGUGGGAAGCCCCCCUCGAGAUUAGACAUGGAUGAGACCCCUCGGAGACUACGAGGUUGAUAGGACGCAGGUGUAAGGGCCGAAAUGCCUUCAGCUGAGCGUUACUAACGGUCGAUCGCUUAAUCAU